rnacentral:rRNA from 1 species
UACGUAGGGGGCAAGCGUUGUCCGGAUUCAUUGGGCGUAAAGCGCGUGCAGGCGGCCCGUUAAGUCGGCCGUGAAAGCGCCGGGCUCAACUCGGCGAGGACGGGCGAGACUGACGGGCUCGAGGUUGGCAGAGGGCGGUGGAAUUCCGGGUGUAGUGGUGGAAUGCGUAGAGCUCCGGAGGAACACCAGUGGCGAAGGCGGCCGCCUGGGCCAAUACUGACGCUGAGCCGCGAAAGCGUGGGGAGCGAGCCGG